rnacentral:rRNA from 1 species
AGUGAACGCUGGCGGUAGGCCUAACACAUGCAAGUCGAACGGCAGCACAGUAAGAGCUUGCUCUUACGGGUGGCGAGUGGCGGACGGGUGAGGAAUACAUCGGAAUCUACUUUUUCGUGGGGGAUAACGUAGGGAAACUUACGCUAAUACCGCAUACGACCUACGGGUGAAGGCAGGGGAUCUUCGGACCUUGCGCGAUUGAAUGAGCCGAUGUUGGAUUAGCUAGUUGGCGGGGUAAAGGCCCACCAAGGCGACGAUCCGUAGCUGGUCUGAGAGGAUGAUCAGCCACACUGGAACUGAGACACGGUCCAGACUCCUACGGGAGGCAGCAGUGGGGAAUAUUGGACAAUGGGCGCAAGCCUGAUCCAGCCAUACCGCGUGGGUGAAGAAGGCCUUCGGGUUGUAAAGCCCUUUUGUUGGGAAAGAAAAGCAGCAGGUUAAUACCCCGCUGUUCUGACGGUACCCAAAGAAUAAGCACCGGCUAACUUCGUG